GAUGAACGCUGGCGGCGUGCCUAACACAUGCAAGUCGAGCGAGAUAAAUGUGAGUGGAGACUUCGGUCAAAGCGAUCAUUUUGAAAGCGGCGGACGGGUGAGUAACGCGUGAGCAAUCUGCCCCAUACAAAGGGAUACCCACUGGAAACGGUGAUUAAUACCUUAUAAGACCACGAAGUCGCCUGGCUUAGUGGCCAAAGAUUUAUCGGUAUGGGAUGAGCUCGCGUCUGAUUAGCUAGUUGGUGAGGUAAUGGCUCACCAAGGCGACGAUCAGUAGCCGACCCGAGAGGGUGAGCGGCCACACUGGAACUGAGACACGGUCCAGACUCCUACGGGAGGCAGCAGUGGGGAAUAUUGCACAAUGGGCGCAAGCCUGAUGCAGCAACGCCGCGUGAAUGAUGAAGGCCUUCGGGUCGUAAAGUUCUGUCCUAAGGGAAGAAUACAGUGACGGUACCUUAGGAGGAAGCCCCGGCUAACUACGUGCCAGCCGCCGCAGUAAAAC
rnacentral:rRNA from 1 species